UCAUGCAAUCGAAUCACGGAGCUCAUGACAAACUACCCUUCCUUGAACGUACUUGUUGGCAGUAUUUCUUUUUUGGGAAAGUUUGGGAGAAAUUCAGGAUUCAUGCCAAGGCAGCCAUCUCACUACAUUUGGCAAAUAAUUUGCAUCUAGAUACAACAAGAAAAUGAAAAGAGGAAAAGAUAAACCUGACCAAUUAAAGACACUGAUGGCCAGGUUACCUUAACAAUUUUACAAAGUUGGGUCAUCACAAGCACAAGAAAUGUCACCUUACAAACUGCUUCGAGCCUGGACUCGCGUGAUGAACAUCAGAACCUCGUGAUGUUUCUACUAGUAGCACAAUCUACUAAGGGCAUGUACAAUGGUUGAUAGGACAGUCUUAUCUUAAGUCUUGCAUGUAAUUUAGAGAUGACAAAAAAAUAUGUCUACAAUGGGUUAUAUCUUAGCCUUAUCUUCAAUAACUAGUUAUUCCUUAAAAUAUGGUGAGACAAAUUGUGCUAAGAGAUCAUCUCUUGUCUUAUCUUAAAUAAGAGAAGACAAGCCUUUUCUUAUGAGUUUUCUCUCCUUCACCUCACCAUUUAUCCUACGUGACACUUCUAAGAUAGCAUCAUUGUACAUGCCCAGAUAGACUCAACUAACUUGACGGUAAAUUAAGGUUAAGCCAAUUCUUACAGCUCCCUCACAUCACGGUGCAGGAGUUGGCAUUGUCGUCGCUGAAAAGAUCGGCGUAGGAGUAGCGCGCCGGCGAAGCCGCGCCCGUCUGCGGCGCCCAAGGCGACGGCUGCGAGUAGUAGCAGCACGGUGGGUACGUGUACGGGAGCUCCUGCGGCGGCAGGGACCUCGCGUCUGGCGCUGCCGUCGCCGGCGCGGCGGCGUAGUAUGCCGCGCUCGCGCUCGGCCGCGCCAUGCUGUAGCUCAGGACGUGCACCGAGGGCGGCGGCGGCGGCGGCUGCAGGUGUGGUGGCGAGUGGCAGGUGUGGCUGCCUUGGUCCGAUGCUGCCGCCACCACCACCGUGGCGAUGGCAUCGACCGGUUUCUCCUCCUCCGGCCGCAGCUGCUUCCGCUUCCUCUGGGGGCCGUUGCAUUGCUCCGCCGUGGGCUCCUUGCUGCGAUGGCUGACAUCGUCGACGCCGCCGGCGUCCGCGUUGGUGCUCUCCGUGUCGUCUUGAGCUGGCCUCACGGUCUCGCGGGCGACUUUGUUGGGAUCUUCUUCAGGGGUGGCCUUGGAGUUGCUCUGCCCUGCGGCGCUUGUCUCCGCGUCGCCGGACGCCGGCUUGUGGGCGGUGCCAGUGCCACCGGGCUUGUCUGGCUGGAUGGAGUCGUUCUUGGUUUCUCCGGGUCUCUGGGUUCCUACGGCCAGCUGCUGCUCCGGCCACUGCUGGGCAUUCUUGCCCGACCUGCGGAGCCUCUUGAGCAGAGCGUCGGCGCUGACGUUCCCGGUGACGGCCACCGUCACCUUGUUGCUCCGGGCGUCGAUGUCGCAUCUGUACACGCCUUCAGGAAAAAGGCGAAUCUAUGGAAUGAGAGGAAAAUCCCAUUCACAGGAGCAAGCAAAAUAAUUGGAGAAGUGAAGACAUAGUGAAAAUGUUGGAGAUAGAUAGACUAGACUGAGGUGACAGCACACCAUCGACGCUCUGCAGCACUUUCUUCACCUUCUUCUUGCAUCCCUCGCAGUGGAUGGACACCCGGAGCACCAGAGUCUGCACGCCAAGAAAUCAAGGAAACCAUGAGGGUAAGACUCGAGUAAUAAUAACACGGCGAGCGAGAGUGACAGUGCUGGGUUUGGGGGAGGUACCUUGCACUGCAGAGGUUCUGUUGCCAUGAGGAGGACGGUCUGUUCGGUGGGGAACGAAGGAAGGUGGAGGGGGAGAGGGAGAAAGGGGAAGUGACGCCGGAUUGUUGGGAGUACCUUUCCACCUUGAGGAGGGUUUGAUUGAUGCUGCCUCCGCUGUGGUUGGGUUCGGGAGAUAUAUCGGCCGUGUUUGGUCACUUGCAGUUGCAGAUGGAGUAAAAUGCAAGAACGGAAGAACCCAUCACAUAUGACAGGUGGGGCCCGCUCGUUAGGAACUGACUUGGCAAAGAAAGGCCACCUGUGUGCGUUGACUAGUCCUCCGCCAUCACCACCAUCCCUUCCCUCGGGCAGCCAUCCCAUCCUCUCUCCCACUUCCCAGCCGCGCUCCCUCCUCCUCGACUCCCGCCGUGGCUUCGUCUCCGUCGUGCCGCCCUGCUGACACGGCCCGCCGCUCGCUAGCACCCCAUCCGCCUUGCCCCACUCUACAGAUCAGGCCUCGAACCAGGCACGCACCGCGAGGCCUUACGGCCGGCCGACCAGCAAGCCGCACCAGAGCGAGCACUGCGACUCGUGCACCGCGCGCGCAUCACCGUGGUGAGCUCCUGCCGGCGUGCGUGCGUGACGUGUGCUUGUGUGCGCGCUGCCUUCGUGUGCUCUGUUCGUGCUUUUGGGGUGCAUGCUGUGAUGGGUAUGGGGAGGCGACGAGCUGCUCGUCCGUGGUAGCUCGGCGACAUGGUGACGGGAGCCAGCUGGGCGGCUCGGCACGGAACCAGAAGUGCGGUCGGACCCGACGGAGCUGCUACACACCCCUGGAGGACGAGGUGGCGAGUUGUCCCCAAUCACUAAGAUGAAGCGCGGGAGCCUCGCCUCAACUCGCCAUUGAAGCUCGCUCUAGCGGCGGAACUUCGAUCAACGUCUCCCUGUCGACCUCCAGCGGCAAAGCUUCUGUCGACGGAAGGUGGCGAGACGACGCGCUCGCGUGCAUGUCGUGUUAGUCUAGGAGUGUUAGACUAUGUAUAGCUUCUGUAUCUAUAUACGUAUAUGGUACAUAUUGUAACACAACCAUUAUAUAUAAUGAGAUAAGCCACUCCUAGAGGGUUGUGCUGGUUCCCCAAAACUUAUUGUCUUACAUGGUAUCACGCUAAGUUACGAUCGCUUCCGCUUCUAAACCCUAAUACCCGUACCGCCGCCGCAGCCGCCGCCGCCUUCACCGCCGCCGCCGCGCCACCGAUCGCGCCGCCGCCAUGUCGAGCGCCGCCACCACCGGUUCCACUGCUGCGGGCUUCCUCCCGGCCUCUCUUGCGGCUCUGCUCAACCUCCCGCUCGAUGCCGUCUCUGUUCCGGCUCCGAUCGGGACAAGGAGCAUCGGCUCCGUCUUCUCCACGCCGCCGGCGCCCUCGCUUGGGCGUGACCUCGUGGUCCACACCGCGGCGCCGCCGUCCGCUGCGGACUCCGCAGGCGUCGUCCCGCCGCUCCUGCCGCAAGCGGAUCACACUGCCCCGCUGGCGGGGUUGGCGGCGUCCGCCCCGGCCGCGGGCCUUGCGGCGUCCGCACCGGCCGCGAGCUUUGCGGCGCCCGCCCUGGCUGCGGUCCCGCCUCCUCCCGCAUCGGCUUCGGUGCCUCCGGCUGCCUCCAUGGUGUUUGCACCCCAGGCAGCCUUCUCGAUGGGAUUGUCUUCGCCGCCGCCAUUUCACUUCGGUCAUCUCAUCACCAUCAAGCUCUCCGCCGACAACUACAUCUUCUGGCGUGCGCAGGUUCUCCCGCUCUUGGGGAGUCACUACCUGCUAGGCUACGUCGACGGAUCGCUUCCCUGCCCAUCCGCGCUGGUAGACAGCGUGCACGGUCCGGUCUACAAUCCGGCCCAUCGCGUCUGGACGGGGCAGGACCAGGCGAACCUCUCCUCCAUCCAGGGGUCGCUCUCGCCGGCAGUUGCCGGCCUUGUUGUCUUCGCGAAGACGUCUCAUGAGGCCUGGACCAUCCUUGAGCGCACCUUUGCAGCGCAGUCCCAGGCUCGUGUCUCUGCACUCCGUCGUCAGCUUGGAGAGUGUCAGAAGCUUGACUCCACUGCCACUGAGUUCUACAACAAGGUCAAGGGCCUCGCCGACACAUUGGCCUCCAUUGGACAGCCCCUCACCGACUCCGAGUUCAACUCGUUUAUUGUCAAUGGUCUUGAUGAGGAGUAUGAUGCCUUAGUCGAGAUCAUCAACGAGCGGGGCAACUCGACACCCAUGCUGGCACACGAGGUUUUCUCUCGGCUCCUUCUCACUGAGCAACGGGUCGAGACUCGCCGCACCAGGGGCACUGGCUCCCUCUCGGCCAACGCCGCCACCAAGGGUGGCCGCUCUUCUUCAUCACCCCGGUCUCCCUUGGGGCUGCCACCGUCGCCCGCCUCGGCCCCCCCACCUACUGCGACCUUACCGGGGGCUGGCGGUCCACGUGUGUGUCAGCUUUGUGGCCGCGAUGGGCACUGGGCCUCCAAGUGUCAUAAGCGCUUCCAGCGAAGCUUCCUUGGUCUUGGCAAUGACGGCAAAAAUACACGCAACAAUGCCCGUCAGGUCGCCAUGGCUGAUCGUCCCGCGCCGCAGAAGCAACAGGGACACACUCAGUCCUACUCCAUCGAUCCACACUGGUACAUGGACUCUGGGGCGACAGAGCAUCUAACCAGCGAGAUGGGGAAGCUUCACACUCGUGAACCCUAUCAUGGCUCCGACAAGAUCCACACCGCCAAUGGAGCAGGUAUGCACAUCUCUCAUAUUGGUCAAGCAUCUCUUCUCACUAGACAUGCCAAUAGGAGUCUUCAGCUUCGCAAUGUUCUUCGAGUUCCAUCUGUGACCCGUAAUCUUCUUUCAGUUCCUAAACUCACACGUGAUAAUAAUGUGCUUUGUGAAUUUCACCCUUUUGAUCUUUUUAUUAAGGAUCGGGGCACGAGGGACAUUCUUCUUAGUGGGCGGUUGUGCCAGGGCCUCUACCGUCUGGAGCAUCCUGGUGUCGCUCGUGUUUUCAGUGGAGUUCGGGUCUCUCCGUCACAGUGGCAUGCUCGUGUUGGUCACCCGGCCACACCUAUUGUCCGUCAUAUUUUGCGUCGUCAUGAGCUUCCUAGUUUGUCUAGUAAUAAAGAUGUAGCAGUGUGUGAUGCUUGUCAGCAGGGGAAGAGUCAUCAACUUCCUUUUUCGGAGUCCAGUCGUGAGGUGAAACAUCCUUUAGAACUUGUGUUUUCAGAUGUAUGGGGUCCUGCUCAGACUUCUGUCAGUGGUCAUAAUUACUAUAUCAGUUUCGUUGAUGCUUAUAGUCGCUUUACCUGGCUUUACCUUAUUAAACGCAAAUCUGAUGUGUUUGAUAUUUUUGUUCAGUUUCAAAAACAUGUUGAACGUCUUCUCAAGCACAAAAUUGUUCAUGUCCAGUCAGACUGGGGGGGGGGCGAGUAUCGCAACCUCAACUCUUUCUUUCAGUCGCUUGGGAUAGCUCAUCGUUUAGCAUGUCCACAUACACAUCAGCAGAAUGGUUCAGUCGAACGUAAGCAUCGUCAUAUUGUUGAAGCUGGUCUUACUCUUUUGGCCCAUGCAUCUGUUCCGUUUCGGUUUUGGAGUGAUGCUUUCACCACUGCAUGCUUUCUCAUCAACCGUACUCCUACUCGUGUUUUAAAUAUGAAGACUCCCAUUGAGGUUCUCCUUAAUGAACAACCUGAUUAUACCUUUCUCAAGGUAUUUGGGUGUGCUUGCUGGCCGCAUCUUCGUCCAUAUAACAAGCGCAAGCUUGAGUUUCGUUCUAAGAAGUGUGUUUUUCUUGGCUAUAGCUCUCUUCAUAAAGGUUACAAAUGUCUUCAUGUUCCCACUAAUCGUGUCUAUAUAUCUCGGGACGUCGUGUUUGAUGAGCAUGUUUUUCCCUUUGCCAACCUUCCUGUGUCCACUGUCGAACCACCAUCCCUGCAUUCAUCCUCUGUUGCUUCUGACCAAUUUGAUGAUGUUGCAUACUCUCCUUUGCUGUUACCUAACCAUGGUGCAGGAACCGGACGUGGAGCUCGUUUGGAGCUGUUGGAGGAUUCACCAUCAUCAUCGUCGUCUUCUGGUGGGCACGUCGAUCGCCCUAUGUUGCAUGGCAUCGAUUCGCGUGCCCAUGCAUGGUCACCCGACAAGCCCGUCGCGCCGAGCAUCUCCACUGCUCGGUCCGUUUCGCCAGCGGCCGCCGAGUCGCCCGCGGCUCGGCCUGUCACGCCAUCUUCGUCUGCGGCUCGGCCCGUCACGCCGUCUUCGCCCGCGGCUCGGGUCCUCACGUCGCCUUCAUCAGCGGAUCGGCCCGCGACACUGGCCGUGCCACGGCCCACUAUGCCGAGCUCGCCAUUGGCCCGGUCUGUGAUGCCGGAGUCGCCAGCUGCUUCGUCUGCUCUGCCGGUUUCACCGGUGGGUCGGCCUUCUUCGCCAACCGAGUCCGAGGCUACCGUGACUGGCUCCUCAUCACCGGCUGACUCGUCAACGUCGCCGUCCUCCAGCCCGUUGCAGGCUGCUCCGUCGACCUCGGUGGUUCCUGUGUCCCGACCACAUACACGCAGUCGCAGUGGCAUUUUCAAACCUAAGGAAUGUAAGGAUGGUACGGUUGCUUGGUUGGCUGCUUGUUUGGCUGCUGCUGUUGCGGAUCCAUCUUCUGAGCCUCGCUCAUAUCAGGCUGCCCUGCGCAUUCCACAUUGGCGAGAGGCUAUGGAGCAGGAGUUUCAUGCUCUUCUUCGUAACAAGACAUGGACUCUCGUUCCUCCACCACCACGGGUAAAUGUUAUUGACUCAAAAUGGGUAUUCAAAGUGAAGAAGCAUUCGGAUGGAUCUAUUGAGCGUUACAAAGCGCGACUUGUUGCUCGCGGUUUUCGGCAGCGUCAUGGUCUUGACUAUGAGGACACCUUCAGUCCUGUCGUCAAGCCUACCACUAUUCGGCUUCUUCUCUCCAUUGCUAUUUCUCGUGGUUGGUCACUUCGUCAACUUGAUGUGCAGAAUGCUUUUCUACAUGGAUUUUUGGAGGAAGAGGUUUAUAUGAAACAGCCGCCUGGUUUCUCUGAUCCUGAUCGUCCUGACUAUAUCUGUCGUCUUUCCAAAGCACUAUAUGGUUUGAAGCAAGCUCCUCGUGCCUGGCAUGCCCGCCUUGCCUCUGCCCUUCGUGCUCAUGGGUUUGUGCCGUCUACUGCUGACACUUCGUUAUUUCUUCUACAGAAGCCAGAAGUCACUAUGUAUCUUUUGGUAUAUGUCGAUGAUAUUAUCCUUGUCAGCUCUUCUCAGUAUGCUGCUGAUGCUCUUGUCUGCUCUCUUGGUGCUGAUUUUGCGGUCAAAGAUCUUGGGAAGCUUCACUACUUUCUUGGAGUUGAGGUCACUUCUCGUGCUACUGGUCUUGUCCUUACGCAGAAGAAGUACUCCUCGGAGUUGUUACAGAGAGCUGGCAUGCUGAAGUGCAAACCGACCACCACACCCAUGUCGUCUACCGACAAGAUAACAGCUGUUGAUGGUGAGCUUUUGUCUCCUGCGGAUGCCACAGAGUACAGGAGCAUUGUUGGUGGACUUCAGUACUUGACGAUCACGAGACCAGAUAUCUCUUAUGUUGUUAACAGGGUUUGUCAGUAUCUUCAGGCUCCCAGAGAUACUCAUUGGGCUGCUGUUAAACGCAUUCUUCGUUAUGUUCAGUUCACCCUGACAUUUGGUAUGCAUAUUCGGCCGACUUCCUCUCGGGUCCUUUUGGCCUUCUCUGAUGCAGAUUGGGCUGGUAGCCCAGAUGACAGGCGAUCCACGGGGGGUUAUGCAGUAUUCUUUGGCUCUAAUUUGAUCGCCUGGAGUGCUCGGAAACAGGCUACUGUGUCACGUAGCAGUACUGAAGCUGAGUACAAGGCUGUGGCUAAUGCUACUGCAGAGAUUAUUUGGGUGCAGUCUUUGCUUCAGGAGUUGGGUUUGUCUCAACCACAGCCUCCUGUUCUUUGGUGUGAUAACAUCGGUGCUACAUACCUUUCUGCAAAUCCAGUAUUUCAUGCCUGAAUGAAACACAUUGAAGUUGACUAUCACUUUGUACGGGAACGUGUAUCACAGAAGCAACUCCAGAUCAAGUUUAUCUCAUCUAAGGAUCAACUUGCAGACAUCUUCACUAAGCCUUUACCGCUGCCACAGUUUGAGGCUUGUAGACGCAAUCUUACCCUUCUCAGUUCUUUAGAAAGUGGCUAAGAUUGAGGGAGGGUGUUAGACUAUGUAUAGCUUCUGUACCUAUGUACGUAUAUGGUACAUAUUGUAACACAACCAUUAUAUAUAAUGAGAUAAGCCACCCCUAGAGGGUUGUGCUGGUUCCCCAAAACUUAUUGUCUUACAAGGAGGAAGCUCUAGGUGCUCGGGCGGCUCCAUGAGAAACACCGUUGGACUCUGGUGAAGGCCGCCGCCCCAAACUGCUCCUCAAAACGCACACAAAGUUGUACACAUGUAAUGCAUUCAUGCAUAACAGAGGGGCACACACACGUGGCCUUUUUUUGCCAAGUCAACUCUUACAAGUGGGACCCACCUGUCAGAAAAGUGUUCAGAGCCCUCUAAUCCGUCGGCCACAUGGUUUACGAAAAAUACUUGCCAUAGAUAUUUUUUGCCAAAAAAAGAGUCAUAAAACCAUUCUUUCUACGAAUAUGUCCCUCCAAGUGGCCGUGCGGGGCCCAUAGGGCAUGUCUCCGCCGGAACGAGACUUGCCUGCUUCCCCGGCGUGUGCCCAUCCGUGCUCCCACGUACGUGGCUUGAUUUGAUUGGAACAAAAUAAGUCCCGGCCCCACCCCCUUAAAAUCAGGAGGAAGAUGAUUAGAUUAGAAAGAAAAGAGAAAAAAAGACAACCGUAGGAUGAAAUGGGAGCACGGAUGGGAGCAUGGGGAGGCAGCAGGCAAGCCGGAUCCGUCUCCGCCUCUCUCUAGCACUCUUUGUCCUAUACUACCUUAAAACUUCUAGAAAUAAUUGAUUUUUCGCUGCCAUCUUCAAGGAAGAAACAAAAGGGGGUACUUUACACUCUCGUAGGGCUAAUCUGUCGGGGUCCUUCCCCUUCGGGUGGGGGAAGUCAAAGCCAUCGACAUCACCAUCACUCCGUUCAUCAUGGGGAAUAUCAUCGUCGAGCACCAUCUCCAUCGUCGCCUCCAUACACCCCUACUUUCCAACCUAUAAAACUAUUACCUUGGAUUUGUUGUUGAGAUCACUUCCUGGUGUUAUUUGAUGUUUGGUUGUUGAUGCUUAUUGGUUUAUUGGUGAAAAUUUUGCAUGUUUAUAUUGUAAUUCAUAUCAUUACCCCACUGAUCAUGAUCAAUAUGAUGUGUUGUGAGUUGUUCGUGACAUUCUUGAGGACUUGGGAGAAACUUUGUUGCUUGUAACUUAUGAAAUUGAGUAAAGUUCAGUGUUAUGGCAUUAUGUUAUGGUGUAAUUUUCUAUUGGUGAUGUGCAAACAUCUAUUGCAUGUCAAGUCACCUUUAUGGGCCUUAGGAGAGCAUUAUGUGAUAUGUUUUCUUAGGAUGAGUGGUUGGUGGGACAAAUAUUACCAUGUCAUGAGUUUGUGAACUGUUGCAUGAUCCCCCAUCCCAAAAUAAGUGUUGUUGAUUUAGUACGACUUUGUACUAAAACUAUACUACAUCAUUGACACUUAUUUUGAGACAGAUGGGGUAUGUAUUUUGUUGAAGUGAAAGUGCAAUCAUGUCCUUAAUUAUAUUUUGAUGUUGAUGACAAUAUACAUAAAGAGGACUAGCAACUUCAGAUUGAGAUCAUGGAUCACUUCCGCGUGGUAGGGAUCGUAGCACUUUUGGUCAUGAAACCAAUCAUGCACACUUUGCCAAAAUGGCGUGCCCUUUCCCUCCGCACCAUGAAACAGAUCCACACUAGUGACCAACCAUACUUCACACAUCAAAUCAUCUUCCUUGUUCGAGUAGGCGGUUCCUCUCUUAUUCUUUAGACCGACACCCGGCGGCCAGUUGUUGUCCGACUCAAAGUAUGGCUGCUUAGUGUAUACCUACUGAGCGUCCGACGGCUAGAUGCCUAGUUGCAACUUUUGCUUCGGUUGCGAGUCAUGCACUUGUCCAUCUUCGUUGUCGCCUUCAUUGUGGAUAAUGUUCAUCAUCACCUUGUCAUUUUUUGUUGUCAUGCUUGGUUGAGGCAUUCUGACAAACAAUGACCGGUUACUAAUGGUUGAGGGCUCCACAACGGGAAUCUGCAACCGAACAUGCUUCCACGACUCCGUGAAGAUGUAGCCGCUAUUGAGUUCAACGAUGAAUGACGCUCGUCGGCCGAAGUUGAAAGGAGGCCAUGGUCUGCUACGACCAUUGUUGCAUGCCAGGCGUAUCGAGAUACUGGGCGGCGUAGUAGUACGACAUCUUCAGCUUGGCAGACUAGGCAUUGCGAUUGAUCGAGCAGCACCAGCAACGACAAUGUGCUUUGGAUGACGAGCUACAUCCUGACCACCCGCCACUACCUUGUUUGCCUUCUUCUGCACUCUGAAGCACCGUCGUUGGUGUUAUGCGACGCAACCUUGCAGGCGACCUCCUCCGGUCCGGGGCAUGUAGGAUAAUGAACAUCGUCUCCAGCUUCUCCGGUGGCUCCAUUGCUGCAACGGAUGGAAAGGCGUGUGUGGGGGGUGGAAGCAACGGGAAGGGCAGGUUUUCGGCCAGGAGGAGUGGCAUGACGCGUGCUCCGACUCAAUUUUGGAUGGAUUCGAUGUGGUGGAUGUCCAGACUCCCCAAAUCUCCCCUCAGUUCGAUGCCGUUUGAGGGAUCCCAAAUGUCCUAACUAGUUUGAACAUCUUAGAUGAGUUGUGUUAGAGCAUCUACAGCCGGACACCCCAAACCCGUCUCAAACGCCCGAGCUGUCCAACCCGGUCAUUGACCGGUCACGAAAAUGCGACCCAGAUGGGCACCUUAAACGGGCCUCAAACGCUCGAGCUGGCUGGCACCCUUGAUAUCCUGCCCAAAUAUGGCGUGGAUAUGGGGGCGCCCGGGCGCGUCCAACACGCUGGACUGACGUCAGGGUUACACAGGAAAACACUCCGAAACCCGACGGUCCGAAGCUCGUUUCUACCGUCGGACCGAUGGUGCCGCGUAGCGCCGUUCCGGUGGGUCAUGUAGUGCCUAGCCCGGCUAUAAGCCGACCGCCCGCACCGAAACCCUACCCGUCCACAUUUCCCCCUCCUGUCUGCUAUCGCCGCCAUUUUCUACUCGUCGUCCGCCGCCACCAGUAGCCAUGCCCCCACACCGUCGGGUAAAGGAGCUACCCAUAUCUAAUGCUGGAGCGCUGGAUGCAGCUCCUUGAGCAGGCCCGGGCAAGGCGCGAAGCCCAGGUCGCCGCGGGGGGCUACUUCUAGAUGUGAUGGAUCCGGUGGAGGAUUUGGAGGAGGAUGAGAUUGAGGAGAAGUAGGAGGAGGAGGAGCCGGAGGAGGACGUGGGGGACGCUGGGGACGCGUAUCUGCAGGCGGACCAGUAGACCAUCCUCGAUUCCCUCCGCUUGGAGUUGGAUGCAUAGGCCAUGCGUAGUCGUCGGCAGGAGAUGGACACAGAGCAAGCUGCGAAAGUCGACCAGAUGCUCGCAUACAUGGAUGAGGAGGAGGAUGAGGAGCUGGAGCCCUUCUAUGCGCCCGUCCACCCGGCGCCCGGCACCUACGUCGUGGACACCUCCGACGAUGAAUAAUAGCUAGCGUGUCGUAGUACGUAGUUUUUUUUUUGCGGUUUUGUAUGGAUUUAGGAGAUGAAAUGUGAGAGACUCGGAUGCAGAGAAGGAAAUUUGAGACGUGACCAGUUACUCUCAGCGGAUGCACCCGACCGCGUCCGCGGAUAUUUGAGGGGUUUCGAUUUGUCAAGUUCGACUGUAUAUGCACUAGAUAUCUUCGUAUCUAGACAAAUCUAAGACAAGUAAUUUGGAACGGAGAGAGUACAUGCUAAGAGUGUUCGUACCACCCGAACAUUUAUGCACAAUCGAUUUUGGGUGAUCCCGUUGGAGUUGGCUUUAGAAUCGAGCCGAGCUGAACGGGCUGGUGGCUCUGUUCGGCCCCGGUCCUGAAAAUCGAGCCGAGCGUGACUCUACUUUUUAAAGAAAACAAGAACGGAAAGGAAAGCGAGCCUUGGGCUCGGGACGCUCUGAGCUCGAGCUCGGCUCGGCCAGCUCACAAUGCCUAGCCACAAAACAAGCCGAGUGCAGCCCCCAACGCGUCUCUCUCUUACUCUGCGCCCGUCCCUAUCCCGACCCCCGCCGCCGCGCCCGCGCCCUUGCGCGGCUUCCGGCCGCCGCCGUUUUUGCCACUUCGCGGUCCUCCGCCGCUCCAUUGCAGGGCGGGCGCGACUUCCCCUGCUAGCCACCGCUCCCUGACUGCUCCUCCCCUCUGAUCCUCCACCGACAGCCGCUGGUGACGUUGCCGCUGGGGGUGCCGCAGCCACCGGCGUCUCACUCCAGGAGAUCGAUUAAGCUCGGGUUCUGCUGGUUGCCAUACUACUCCCCCUACGGCAGAUAUAACGUAAGUUGUUUCCCGUAAGUUGCUGUUUUGUGAUGAUGCAGUGCUACGCUCUGUAUCAAUCUGGUUGAUGGUAAAUGGUACAAGUAGUUUUUGUUCAGCGAUAAUUAAAAUUCUGCAAGAAAAAAAUUGUGUACUCUAGUCUUGAUAUGUUUGAUAUCUUGUAGCGGUCAGGCUGUUGCAGUCCAGAACCUUAACUUUAUGUUAUAGAGAUAACAUGUACAGAGAUCAACAAGGCCAGAACAUACAAGGAUCAUAGACUAAUCUAAGGUGGGAGAAAAGCAAUCCACCUGAGCAACCUGUCUAUGAACCUAGGCUUAGCCCUAUGCACCACGAGAGAUAUUUCAUGGACAAAAUUGCAAUGCGAAUAUGUUUGUAGAUCUUGGCAUUGUGGAUUAGCCAAAUAUGCCAGCAUGCAAGGAAAAGCAUGUUUUUGUUGUGAUAAGAUAACUCCAUGUGGUUUUUGAUAUCUUUAGAGAAUCAUAGUGGUUUGCUGAUAAACUGAUAACCAAUGCUAAUCAUGCGUAUUGCUUUGUUGUGAUAAUUGAUUGAUGUUCUUUAGCAAUCUGCUCUUGCGAUGCUGUGAUAAUUAUGUAUUAGGGUCACUUGUUUUGAGGCUUUGCCAAGAGAGCUAAAACCCCCCAAAAUGCAGAGCCUCUUAUCAUUAGAGAAUAUUUUUCCCACCACCCAGAAAAUUGUUGAAACCAGGAAACUGCUCGGACCCAGUCUUCCGAGCUUCUCGCCUCAUCAAUUUCAGAAAUGCCCUCCGAGUUACAAGGAAAUUACCUCCGUGGCUCCGUAUGCCACCGCUUGCCUCCCUGUUCCCAAACCCGACCCUGCAUGGUUAUCUCGUUGUUCUCUCACAACAUCACGGGUCUCCUACGCUAGGAGAUCGACGCUGCCAAAUGCAUCCACCUCGUCUCGCUACAGGCUAGCUCGACGUCGACCCAUGUGUUGCUGCUUCCAGCUCGUCCUCCACCUCCAGUUAGGUGCUGCUUAGCUCGACCUCGGCCUCCAGCUCACUUCCGACCAGCUCGACCGCAGGAAAAAGUUGGUCGAGGGCAUGUCUUCUCCUUUAUAGCAUCACAUGAUUGUUUUUAUACCUGGGAAUCAUACUCAUGCUCAAGUUAAGCUAUUUUUGUUAGAAUUUACAAGAAUGGCUGUCAUCUACUCUUUUUUUUUUUGCAUUGGUGGGCCUUGGAGAAACACAAAGUCCCAGCAAAGUACAUUACCCUCAUCAAGGACAUGUACGAUAAUGAUGUGACAAGUGUUCAAACAAGUGAUGUCGACACUGAUGACUUCCCGAUUAAGAUAGGACUGCAUCAGGGGUCAGCUUUGAGCCCUUAUCUUUUUGCAUUGGUGAUGGAUGAGGUCACAAGGGAUAUACAAGGAGAUAUCCCAUGGUGUAUGCUCUUUGCGGAUGAUGUGGUGCUAGUUGACGAUAGUCUGACGGGGGUAAAUAGGAAGUUAGAGUUAUGGAGACAAACCUUGGAAUUGAAAGGGUUUAGGCUUAGUAGAACUAAAACCGAGUACAUGAUGUGCGGUUUCAGUACUACUAGGUGUGAGGAGGAGGAGGUUAGCCUUGAUGGCCAGGUGGUACCUCAGAAGGACACCUUUCGGUAUUUGGGGUCAAUGCUGCAGGAGGAUGGGGGUAUUGAUGAAGAUGUGAACCAUCGAAUCAAAGCCGGAUGGAUGAAGUGGCGCCAAGCUUCUGGCAUUCUCUGUGACAAGAGAGUGCCACAAAAGCUAAAAGGCAAGUUCUACAGGACGGCGGUUCGACCCGCAAUGUUGUAUGGCUGAGUGUUGGCCGACUAAAAGACGACAUAUUCAACAUUUACGUGUGGCGGAGAUGCGUAUGUUAAGAUGGAUGUGUGGCCACACGAGGAAGGAUCGAGUCCGGAAUGAUGAUAUACGAGAUAGAGUUGGGGUAGCACCAAUUGAAGAGAAGCUUGUCCAACAUCGUCUGAGAUGGUUUGGGCAUAUUCAGCGCAGGCCUCCAGAAGCUCCAGUGCAUAGCGGACGGCUAAAGCGUGUGGAGAAUGUCAAGAGAGGGCGGGGUAGACCGAAUUUGACAUGGGAGGAGUCCGUUAAGAGAGACCUGAAGGAUUGGAGUAUCAUCAAAGAGAUAGCUAUGGACAGGGGUGCGUGGAAGCUUGCUAUCCAUGUGCCAGAGCCAUGAGUUGGUUGCGAGAUCUUAUGGGUUUCACCUCUAGCCUACCCCAACUUGUUUGGGACUGCAUUCGUUCAUUUAAUUAUAGUUUGAAGUCAUCUGAAUUUGAUUUGGGGGAUGUGCCAUCACUGCCAUGUGAUGUAUCUGAUUCGCAUAUGACUGUUAAUGCAUGUAUAUUAAUGCAGCCUAUUGUGCAAUCGAAAAGCAUGUGUGAUGCGUGCAACUUAUUGCUUACGUCAAAAUAUGACACAACUGAAAUUCUGUUAUGCUGAAGUUUUAUUUUAUUUUGCUUCUGCGGUUAAAUAAUGGAAAAAACGAAAUUAUCUAACAAAAGGAUGUGAUUAAAGUUCAGGGACAUUGUAGACUUUACAUUAGUUGACACAGAAAAGAAGCCUGAAUUCUGUAAGCCAAAAAGAAAAUGAAAAACAGUUUUUCAGAGCUUCCCCCUACUGGAGCUUAUUUCCACCGCAAUCCAUAAGCCUGUUUCUGGAGAUGCUUAAGCUCAAAAGAAGUAAUCAAUGCUGUCUUCUGAGGUUGUGUGCAAUGAAGGUAUGUUUCCUUAAAUGUUUGCUAAUGAUGCAUUCUUCAUAGGCAAAGGCUAACUGUCUUGUACAUAUAUGCUAAAAUAUCAAUGAAGUUAAUGGCAAUCUUACUACCAAGUUGACAACGAUUCACAAUUUGAAACUGAGAUAGGCGCUGACUGAGCGACUGUGUGUGUCAGUUGUUUCAUUUAUGACAACGCACUUGUGUGUCCCAUGUUGUUUUUGGAAAAAUAAAUAAAUCAGGAAACAAAUAUAGGACAAAUACAUAGUGGUACACGUCAUGUUUCAACAAUCACCAAACAAAACAAUGAGGAAACCAACCACUUAUGUGGUUCUAAAAGUCAUUUCUGACACGUGAGUUUCUUAUUUUCUUGUCUUAACAUUCCGGUUAUUCUUUACAGGGCUAUAAAUGGCAGGGAAGCACCGCAUAAGUCGCCAGUACUAUGAGGAACCGCGAGGAUUUCGUGAUGGUCCUCCUCCUCGACUUGCACAAGAAAGGUCUAUCUCACCACGUCGCUUCGAGGGAGAGCUGUCUAGCCGCCGUGAUGAGAUACGCAGAAUCCGUGAUGACAACCAACAUCUGGUGGAUGAAAUUGUUGGACUCAGGCAAGCAAUGUCCCAUUUGAAAGAAGAUCUCUAUUCCUCGAGUCAGGCUAUACCUAAGCUCCGCGCAGAGAAAGAACUUGAAUCGAGGGAGCUGACUCAGAGGAAUCUGAAGCUGGAAGCUGAGCUACGCUCUUUAGAACCUCAUAGGCAAGAUGCCUUGCAGCUACGAUCUGAAGUAGGCACGCUGCAGUCUUUGAGGCAAGAGUUGACUGAAAAGGUGCAGGGUCUAACAAAGGAGGUUGAGCAUCAGAACUCUGAAAAGCAGCGCAUAUCUGCCAUGGUAGCUGAAUGAGAUGGUCUGCGACAGGAACUAAUUCAUACGAGGUAUUGAACCAUUCUGGUCUGCGUUUCUGGUUUAGUAGAUGCAUCAUGCUGUUUUUUUGUCAAUCUAACUUGGUGGCUCAGAUGAGGAAUUUAAUUUUGUAUUUUGAUCCCCCCCCCCCCUUCUUACUUUAGUGUAAGAGUAGCUAAUUAUUAAUAUCACUGCAGGGCCGCUCUUGAUUAUGAAAAGAAUGCAAAGGCAGAGCUGAUGGCACAGGUGCAGGCAGUGGAGAAGGAUCUUGUAACUAUGGCUCAGGAGUCUGAGAAGCUUAGGGCUGAGAUUGAGAAGAGAAGGCCACCUAGUAGGUUUUGUUUCCUCACUUGCAUCCAAGUCAUCGAAAUCUGUUGUGGUUAACCCAUAUCAUACUUAUAAUUUUAGGUUUCAGCGGACAUGGAGCUUACGGACGACCUAUGACAACUCCUGGGAUGGGCUUGCAAGACAUCUACGACAGCGGCUAUUCUUACAGAGAGAAACGCUACGAUGCUGGACCAUGGGACCCCCCUGGCUAUCCGCACCCAUGAUUUGGGCUUUUGAUCCUUGUCAGAGUUCAUCACCGUCAGUACUUGCGACAAAGUUCCUAUCUUAGCACUGAAACUUGUGGUGACUGGUGUUUUCAUGGCGGAUUUGAGUUUUGCUAUAGCUUUGUUGGCAAAUGCGACAGCAUUGUACCAGCGCUGCUUAUAUUGCACCAUUCUUCAGAAAAUCAUAACCGUUGUAGAAGGCGAUUGAUCACAUCAUAGAAGGGAAUAUAUAAUUUGAACUCUAGAAAAUUGCAACAGGGCGUGAAGCCUUCUGAAGGCAGAUUGCUCUUUCGUGACCGGUUUGAUGCGGUUGCUACUCUUUUGGUUUGGGUCGAGCUCUUGCAAGCUUCGAUUGCAUGAGGUGAAAUAUUAUCACCUGCCAAAAAUGAGGACUGAUGCCUAGUUGUGCUUCCUGCAUUGCUGCUUUGCUCAUGUUGAAGGUGGUGAAAAGAAUAACAGCAAUCCCCUUUGUCAUGUCCCGUCUUAUUUUUGAAUUUUUAUUUUUAUUUUGAGUGGUACUCCAGCCAUCCCAAUUUACAUGUCAUUUUCAUAUUUUGUGAUUUUUAAUUGACCAUUUUGUCGGGGAAGGCUGAUCCACCAACACCUAUGGGGACAGGGCCCCCUUUUGGUUCGGAGGGGGGCGGAGGUCGCACAAAGAGCGGAUCGAGGCGGUACAUGCGAGCAGUUUUUACCCAGCUUCGGGCCGCACGGAUGCGUAAAACCCUACUGCUGCUUGUUUGUGUGUAUUGAAUUCUUGCUCAGGAGCGAUGGACGCUGCCAGACUGAGCGUGGGAGUGUUUCUGGUGUUUCGAACGAGUCGAACUGGCCAAACCCCCUCUACGUUGCGCUUGGGCCUCCUUUUAUACUUUCAAGGGGUCAUCGACAGGUGGCAACGUAGACUAGAAGGGUAAAAAUGGAAAAGGAUGCGGUAGGUGCAGCUACCGCUACUGUGGAUACAGUGCACCCUACCUAACUCUGACGGCAGGGGACAAGGGCAUUAAAUGCCUGUCUGAGUUGCCUAAACAGUGCAAAAAGUGACCGUUAGGAGCGCCACCGUUUGCCACGAUGGCCUUCUCUUCAUCUCCGCUUGCCACCGCGCACCCCUAGCUGCGCAGCCUCCUGCCACGUGUGCUUGGGAGAGUCCUAGAGCGACACGUUAGCAGGUGUGCUGGAGCGCGGGCACGAAGUGGGGGUUUCCCGCGGCAAGCUCCUUGCCGCGGUCGUCGUCUUGUCGUGUUUGGGAGCUUGUUGCUCACCAGGCCUUGCCGGGACGCAGGGCGCGUCGCGGCAAGCUUUCUUGGUAUGCCUUGAGUGGCCUUCCCGGCAAGCUCCUCUUGCCGGGGUCUUGUCUCUUCCCGGCAAGAUCCUCUUGCCGGGGCCUGGGUUAGCCUUCCCGGCAAGCUCCUCUUGCCGGGGCCUUGGUUGGCCUUCCCGGCAAGCUCCUCUUGCCGGGGCCUUGGUUGGCCUUCCCGGCAAGCUCCUCUUGCCGGGGCCUUGAUUUGAGUACUUUGUUCUUGAAUGGUCUUCAAGGAAGCCACGGAGGGUCUUGGCGGUCACCCGGCAAGCCUUGCCGCGGGGCGCUGCAACUGCCCGUGCACGAGUUCGGGAUACUAGGGUACCCCUACUCUAGUACACCGACAGGAGCCCCCGGGCCUGGGCCAUACACGGUGCUGAGCGCUGUUGGGCCAGGCCCAAAACAGUGCACGGGCACGCGCGGCCUAGGUCACGCCGCAUAUCUCUCCGCUCCCACCGCGCACGCCCAGAACGGCACGCGUCAAACGCGGCGUCGUGGGUGACGCGGGCGGCGUGCGCGGGGCUAAGCCCCUCGAGCAUGCGUCAGGCCACGAUGAUGGGGACGGUUCACGCCCUCCUCCUUAAACGGAGGUAGGAGUGGGGGCGUGAUGCAUUUACUGGACGGGGCCGGUGCGCGGUUUUCGGGACAUCCACUCCCCGCGAUCACAAGGCGGAGCGAGGCCGCCUCAUCCGUCACCUUGGUUCUGCAUCCCCGCCACGCGGCUCCCAUGCGCUUGGAGUCGCGGACGGUGGAAGUGGGAAACUGGGCCGUCGCGAGCAGAGGCAGCGGGUUGGCCCCGACUCCCUGCUCUUCCCGUGCCUUGAUUCGCUGAGCGGGGCGGCCGAGCCCCCACCUCGCUCCUUUAUAAAGAGCGGGAGGGGAGCACAGAAACCCGCACUCUCUCAUCUCCUCCUUUCUUCAGCUUCUGCUCCCCUUUCUCUCAUUCGCCAUGGAGAAAGGGAACCCAGGCCCUUCAUCGGUGGCGGCGAGGGUCGCCGCCAGACAGCGCAUCUCUCCCUCUCCCGCGCCCGUGGUGGCAGAGCCAGCCAUAAGGGGAAGAGGGAGGGGGCGAGGUCGCGGAUGAGGUCGAGGACGAGGUCGAGGCGCUCGGGGAAGAGGCGGGCGGGGCGGCGCGCCAGCUUCGCCUCCGCCGGCGGCUCCUUCCCCCACGGCGGUCCAUAUAGGGGACGACCCUUGCGAGUUCUUCGUCAAGCUGCGCCGGGCGCCUCGUCGUCGCCUCCGGCUUCCAGCUCCGUUUGCGAGCGCGAUGGAGUUGGACCCGCCCGAGACACUGAGACUGCACAUGAGGGGCUGUGGGAUCAGCGACACGCGAGUCCGCGUUGUAUUCCCAGCCCCUAAUGUGAUGUAUCUUGAUCGAGGGUGGAAGACGUUCGCCCGUAUCCACAGCCUGAUGGAGGGGUUUACCCUCCAUUUUAAGUUGAUAGAGGGCGAUCUCCUCUCCGUCAAGGUCUUCGGGUGCUUCGGCACUCAGGCGAAGUGCUGCGUGGACAGCUCCUCCGAUAGCGAAGGCUCCUCCUCGAGCGAUAUUGACGAGGAGGAGAGCGACAGCGACGAUGAGGGUAGCGGGCGGCGGAGUGGCGGGUCCGACUAGGCGUCGGGCGCCGCUUCGCGCGGCACCGGCGACCCCAUCAUCCGUGUCGCCGGCUUCUUGAACUCUCCGGGGUCGUCUCCUUGGGCGGCUGGCGUAGGGAGGCUGCGAAAGGGGAAGAGGGCUGGCGACAAGGCCGUCAGGUCGGAGUACGAGGGCGUGGUGCCCUCGACAGCGUGCUGACGUCCUGCCGCCCCGUCUUCGAGCCCCGCUUUCAGCGCCGCCAUCGCUGUCCAGCCUUCGGGCGGCCCCCGGGAUGUUCUCUUGGUGUCUUCUGGCACCCGUAGCUCGCCUAGGCGCUCCUUUUGCCCUUUUCGCCUCCUUGACCCGCCUCCUGAAGAGAGGGACAGGAAAGGGAUUACGGGCAUCUUAUCUUUUUAAUUUGUAAGCCCUCGGGCCUUAGCUGUAUCUAAAACUUGUAAUCCUCUCUUUCAUGUUUUUCAUCCUCUAUGGACUGUACCUGAGUGGGAUAUUUUUUAAUGAAAAAGGGAUGCUUGCCGGGUUAUUUGUCUCGCGAGUUGAACCCACGCCAAGGAGCAAAUCCUUGGUAUCCCUCGGACAGACAUUUCAUCUCCCGGCAACAGGCCCUGCCGCCUUCCCACGUCGCUCGACCUUUCUCACGCCUUUGACGGAGGCGGGAACGAGAUGGGUGCGGUCUCCUUGUUUCAUCCCUUUGCUGCCGCGACUACGACCAAACUUGGCCCCGGGAACGAGCCCCAGGGCCUAGAGUUGAGGGAGCACGGCAGUUUUCGGGAAGAAACGCGGUUUCGCAUUCCCCAGUCCAUAAAAGGAUGCAUGAUGAGGGAUGAAAGACUUAUCUGAUAUUGCAGCCCCCGGCAACUCUGGUUUGCCAUGGACGAUUCUUGGCACUCGCAGCCCCCAGCAAUACUGGCUUGCCGGGGCCCAGGUGCCGGCACGCCCUUCUUCUCCUUUUCGUUCUCAAGCAGUCUGGCCAAGAUAUGCGAGCCCUGCGAACGAAAGAGAAGCAAAAGGACGGACACUCGACCUCUAGCGUAGAUUAGGCCGUCCGUUUUCUUCUUUUCUUGUCGCUGCCAGUCAUGUCAUGGGAACACUUUAUUAGAGGCGCGGCAAGUUAUUUUUGUAAUAUAACUCUAUCUUAGGCAAAAAAUUGCUGUGUUACUUCCUUUACUCGACUCUUGGCUUUGUAUGGUUCUGCCCUACGCUUUCUAGGAAAACUUGCCGGUGCAGGUACCCUUGCCGCGAGCGCCGAGUGCGGAACUUCAGCAGCCUGCUGGCGGGGUCGCUACCGACAAGCAACCUUGUCGCAACUAGUUGCAGCUCACUUAAGUUGUUGAGCGGACUCGAAACAAAGUAAGGGCGCUAGCGGCUCACUUAAGUUGCUGAGCGAACUUGAAGCAAAGUAAGGGCGCUAGCAGCUCACUUAAGUUAUUGAGCGGACUCGAAAACAAAGUAAGGGCGCAGCUAGCUACGAGUUGGUUCCUCCGCGCACAGGUUUUCCAUAUAAAGCACGGUCGUUCAAGGAAAAUAACUCAAAAACUUAAAAAACUGAUUGCUCAAGCUUUAGCAACUUAGCUUUUCUGUCUUCUGCUUCCCGGCAAGGAGAAACUUUCUUGAACGGCCUGGUCCACACCAUUAUCUUCUCCUCCCCCCCGGUAAACCUUGUGGGCGAUGGAACCUUCCUUCUUUUGAGAAAGAAACAUAGAAAUAAAGUAAUGAUAUGGAGCCUUGGGCUCGUUAUCGCUUACCGGGAUCUGGUGCUGCACAAAGUGUCAGAUAACAUAUGCGAAAUAGGAUUAUAGCAUAAAAAACUGACAAGAUGUGCGGGGCACAUGAGCUUUACUGGUGCACGGGGUCUGCGCCCGGCUUUGUACAAAGGAUUACAUGCAACAGCGGCAAGACUUGUACAAAAGGUGGUUGCCGGAAAAGCUUCCGGCAACCGCGCCCUACGGGUAAAACUUACGAAGAUGUUCAAUGUUCCAGGAGUUGCUCACCGGAAUGCCAUCUUCGGUCUCAAGGCGGACAGCGCCGGGCCUAGUGACUCGUUUCACCCGAUAAGGGCCUUCCCACUUCGGCGUCAACUUGUUGGAAUUCUUGGUGGACUGAACGCGCUGAAGAACAAGGUCGCCUUCCUCGAAGCUCAUGGCUUUAACUUUGCGGCUAUGGUAGCGACGCAAAGCUUGCUGAUAGCGAGCGGCUCGCACAGCAGCCUGGAGAUGGUCUUCCUCAAGGAGCAGCGCGUCAUCUUGUCGCAGCUGCUCUUGCUCGAGCUCAUCAUAAGCGAGCACUCGAGGUGACCCGUAAACGAGUUCCGUGGGGAGAACUGCCUCCGCUCCGUAGACUAGAGCGAAGGGUGUCUGGCCAGUGGCUCGAUUUGGCGUCGUUCUGAUCGACCAAAGAACCACCGGCAGCUCCUCGAUCCAGUUUCUUCCGCACUUGUGCAGCCUGUCGAAAGUUCUGGUCUUGAGGCCUCGCAGCACUUCAGCAUUUGCCCUAUCCGCUUGACCGUUGCUUCUCGGAUGAGCAACAGAAGCGAAGCAGACCUUGGCACCAAGAUCUUGGACGUACUGCAUGAAGGCGCGGCUCGUAAAUUGCGUGCCGUUGUCGGUGAUGAUCCUGUUAGGGAUCCCGAAACGGCAAACAAUCGACCUGAAGAACUUGACUGCUGACUGUGCUGUCACCUUCCUCACUGGUUUCACUUCCGGCCACUUUGUGAACUUGUCGAUUGCAACGUACAAGAACUCAAAGCCCCUGACAGCUCGGGGGAAGGGGCCGAGGAUGUCGAGCCCCCAGACCGAAAAUGACCAGGAUAAAGGGAUCGUCUGGAGAGCUUGAGCUGGUUGGUGUAUCUGCUUGGAAUGGAACUGGCACGCUUCACACUUGGUUACUUGUGCAGUUGCAUCCUGGAGGGCUGUCGGCCAGAAGAAGCCUUGUCGGAAUGCUUUGCUGGCAAGUGCUCUUGUGCCAAUGUGAUGACCACAUAUGCCUCCAUGUAUCUCUGCCAACAGCUGUUGUCCAUCUUCCCGGCGAAUGCACUUCAAUUUCACACCGUUGAGUCUUAUUCUGUACAGUGUGUUGUCGACAAACUGGUACAUACUUGACUGCCAGGCUACUCUUUCAGCUUCUUCUUGCUCUUCGGGAAGCUCUCCUGUCUGGAGGAAACGGACAAUCUGCUGCGCCCAUGCUGGAGCUUGUGGCUCGACAACAAGGACUAAAGGCGUAUCUGUUGCUGCGGGAACAUCCGCUUCUACGGCAAGAACGUGCGGUUCUGCCGGAGCGUGAUAUUCCCCGGCAAGCUUGCCGGAGCAAAACUUGUCGGGAGCGUCUGCUUCGACGGAACAAACCAUAAGGUUUGCCGGAGCAGACUGCCGCGGCGGCUUCGGGGAGCUCUGCCGGAAAGUAGUCACCAGAAAUCAACUUCCUCUUCUUAUUCUGUCCAGUUGAUGGUGUCACGGAUGGUUGAGUCAGCUUGAGCACAAAAAUCCCUGGUUCCACAGGUAACUUCAGUGCUGCGCACUUUGACAGGCCGUCAGCAAUGUCAUUCUGAGCUCGCGGAACAUGCUCCAUUUGCAGGCCGUCAAAGUGCUCUUCUAGCUUUCUCACUUCAUCAACAUAAGCUUCCAUCAACGGACUCUGGUAGUUCUUGUUCACUUGGCGGACGACAAGCUGUGAGUCACCCCUUACAAUGAGUUUCUUGAUCCCAAGGUCGGCUGCGAUUCUGAGGCCGGCAAGCAAACCCUCAUACUCUGCAGUAUUGUUCGUUGCUUGCUCCUUGGGAAAGUGCAUCUGGACUACGUACUUGAGGUGCUCUCUGGUGGGUGCGAUAAGCAGCACGCCUGCGCCGGCGCCUUGCAGCGAGAAGGCACCAUCAAAGUACAUCAGCCACUCUUUGCUUGCCUCUUUGACGGGGAUGCUCGUCUCUGGAAUUUCUUCGUCUGGGGUUGGCGUCCACUCUGCUAUGAACUCUGCCAAUGCCCUGCUUUGGAUUGUUGCAGUGCUCUCAAACUUGAGGCCAAAGCUUGACAGUUCCAAUGCCCACUCGACAAUCCUGCCUGUUGCUUUUGGAUUCUGCAGUAUCCUCUUCAGCGGAAAGCGAGUGACAACUGUGAUCUCGUGUGCCUAGAAGUAAUGGCGCAGCUUUCUCAAGGCCAUGAGAAGGCCAAAAAGCAAUUUCUGUACGCCAGAAUACCUUGAUCUAGCCCCCUGGAGAAGGGAGUUGACAAAGUAAACUGGGCGUUGCACCAUCUUCUUCUGCACCUCCUUGCACGUCUAUGCAGAUUCAACUUUGUCGGGGCCAGAGCUUGUCGGAGAAGCCCCCUGCUUGUCGCUGGAUUCACUUGUCGCGGUCGCUGGCUCAUCAUCCGCCUCCCUCUCCGCUACUAACGCAGCACUAACCACUUGAUUGGUUGCCGCUAGGUAUAGCAGCAAUUUCUCUUGUGGCUUAGGUGCGACAAGUAUUGGAGUGGAGGACAGGUACCUCUUCAAGUCCUGCAGCGCAUCCUCCGCUUCCGGAGUCCAUUUCAUUGGACCUGCCUUUUUCAAUAUUUUGAAAAACGGCAAGGCGCGCUCUGCGGACUUAGAGAUAAACCUGCUGAGAGCAGCCACGCAUCCGGCAAGCCUUCGCACAUCCUUGACGCGCUUCGGUGCUUCAAUCUGCUUGAUGGCCUUGAUCUUGUCGGGGUUGGCUUCAAUUCCCCGCUGAGACACAAAGAACCCGAGAAGCUUGCCGGAAGGGACUCCAAACACGCACUUCUUGGGGUUGAGCUUGAGGUUGAUCUUGCGUAGAUUUGCAAAAGUUUCUUCUAAAUCUUGGAUCAGGGUAGCCUUGUCCUUGCUCUUGACCACUAUAUCAUCCAUGUAGGCUUCCACAUUUCUGUGUAUCUGUGGCUCAAAAGCGACAUGGACCACCCUUGCAAAUGUUGAACCAGCAUUCUUCAACCCAAAGGGCAUCCGUACAAAACAGUAUGUGCCGCAAGGGGUGAUAAAUGCGGUUUUUUCCUCAUCCUCUUCUGCCAUGAAGAUUUGAUGGUAUCCUGAAUAUGCAUCAAGAAAUGAAAGCAAAUCACAUCCAGCUGUGGAGUCAACAAUCUGGUCAAUGCGCGGCAAGGGGAAUGGGUCUUUGGGACAAGCUUUAUUGACAUCAGUGAAGUCUAUACAAAGCCUCCAUUUCCCGUUCGCCUUGCGCACGACUACAGGAUUGGCCAACCACGUGGGAUGGAGCACUCCUCUGACAAGGCCUGCUGCUUCCAAUUUCCUGAUCUCUUCUGCGAUGAAUUCUUGGCGCUCCACUGCCUGCUUCCUGACUCUCUGCUUGACGGGCCGAGCAUGAGGACAGACGGCAAGGCGGUGCUCAAUUACUUUCCUGGGAACACCGGGGAUAUCAGACGGUUGCCAUGCAAACACGUCGACAUUCGCCCGCAGGAAAGCAAUGAGCGCGCUUUCCUAUUUGGGAUCAAGCGUGGCACUGAUGGUGAAGGUACCACCAGUGCCAUCCUCCUUGGCGGACACCUUCUUGGUCUCGGGUGGAGUUGCCAUCGUCUUCUUGCACUUGCCGGUGGAGCUCGAUGGUGCGUCCUCGACGGUAGCGCAGCACUCCAAAGAGAUGCGCUUGCCGGAGUGGGCAUCAGAGCUCUUGCCGGACUUUGUCUUCUUCUUCCCUCCGGGAGCUUCAGCGGCAAGUGUCUUGCGCUCUGCUGCGGCUGCUGCUUCCCGGUAGAUCUUGUCGGCGCAGAUAAGGGCAUCCUUCUUGUCGCCGGGGACAGAGAUGACACUUAUCGGGCCUGGCAUCUUCAGUAUGUUGUACGCAUAGUGAGAGGCUGCCAUAAACUUGGCGAGCGUUGGACGGCCAAGGAUCCCAUUGUAGGGCGAUGGAAAAUCGGCAACGUCAAAUGUGACCCUCUCAGUUCUGAAGUUCAGCUCGCUGCCAAAUGUGACCGGCAGCAUGAUCUUCCCCUUCGGCUUGCUCCUUCCCGGGUUGAUUCCUUGGAAUGUGCCGGUCUCUUCGAGCUCGCUGUCAGGGAUCUGAAGUUUCUGGAGGACCGCGGAGGAUAUCAGGUUCAAGCCGACCCCGCCGUCAACUAGCAUCUUCGUGACCUUGAGGUUGCGGAUAGUUGGUGAAACCAACAUCGGCAAGCACCCGACCGCAGUUACGCAAUCAGGGUGAUCCUCAAUGUCGAAGAUGAUAGGCGUGCUGGACCAUUUCAGAGGCUUGCGUGACUCUAUGGAUGGCUCUGUUGCAUUCACUUCCCGCAUCCACUGCUUGAGUUGGCGGUGCGAAGUAUGCAGAGAGGCGCCACCAUCAACGCACAGGACCUCUGUGGCUUUCUGAAAUUCCUGCUCAUCGUCCUCAUCAUCAUCCACGUCUUCAUCAUCGUCGUCGUCAUCUUCAUCCUUGUCGCGGCCGCGGGGAGGUCUGUCUCCUUGUCGCUGCUUGGCCUUGCCGCGGCGUCCUCCUCGGCCGGGACGUUUCUUGCCGGAUCCACCAGUUCCUUCCUGGGCCUUCUCCUUGUCGCGCCGCUCGUACUCAGCUUUCUGUUGCUCAACAAGCUGUUCGACUUUCUUGCAGUUCUGGAGAUCGUGACCCUUGGUGCGGUGAAUCUUACAGUACUGCUUGCCGGAGUUGUCCUGCUUGUCGGCGGCCGCCACAGGCUGGGCCUCCUUGUCGGAGGCACCAGCUUUAGCUUCCUUGGCGCCACCUCCGUUGCCGGUCUGCUCGACAGCUAGCACUUCCUUGCCCUUUUUCCUUCUGUUGUUCCGUCUCCGGCCUUUCCUUGUCGGGGCGGCAUCCUCACUGUCGGAUCCUCCUGCACCUGUACUCUCUCCGGGGAGCCUCCUCCCCUCUUCAGCGCGUGCACACUUGUCGGCCAGGGCGUAAAGCUCGCUGACGUCUCUGAUCUUAUACAUCGCCAUCUCCUCCCUCAUCCUUCGGUUUCGCACGUUCUGAUGGAACGCGCUGAUGAUCGCGGCGGGGUGGACGUCUGGGAUGUUGUGUUGUACACGGCUGAAUCUCUGAAUGUACUUGCGCAGUGGCUCUCCUUCCUUCUGGGCGAGCAGAUGAAGAUCGCUCUCUUGGCCAUGUGGCUUGUGGCCGCCUAUAAAGGCACCGACAAACUGAUGGCACAGAUCAGUCCAGGAGGAUAUGGAGUUGUCCGGCAAGUGCAUGAGCCAGGAUCUGACAUUGGGCUUGAGUACCAGCAGGAAGUAGUUGGCAAGGAUCUUGUCGUCCCGUCCCCCGACAGCCUGCACCGCGAUGGUGUAGAUGCUGAGAAACUCCGACGGAUGCGUCUUGCCGUCAUACUUCUCUGGUACGUCUGGUUUGAAAUUCUUUGUGCUGGGCCACUGGACUUGCCGCAGCUCACGGGUGAACGCAGGACAACCUACCGCGUACGGCAGAUCGCCUGGUUCCCCUGGCGCAUGCAUGUCAACAGAGGGCCCAGCGCGCUUGUCGGAUUGACGUCGCGCUUCUCUUCGGCGCUCGAUGCGGGUUUGAGUGUCUUCUUGUUGUCGUUCAUGGAGAACUUGGCGCUGGUCGCGACGAGCUCGUGGGUCCGACGAUGCGGUGGAGCCGCUGUCGGGGUGGACCCGGCGAGUCGGCGAUUUUGGCCUUCGUAGCGGAGAGUGCAUGGAAGUCGCACCUCCCCCGGUCUUGUUGCCAUCGGCUCGCGUCCGGCUGUCCUGCCGCGGCAGCGAGGUGCUUGGUUGCCGCGCAGUGUCGCCGUUGGCGAAGCCGAUGAGGCUCUGGAUAGUGGCCCUCCAUUCGUCGGUCUUGUCCGCCGCCGGAGGAUAGUCUAGGAGCAGUUGAGCUCGCGCCAAGGCUUCUGCUGGAGUGGUGGGCGGCGGAGGUGAACGGUGCGAGGAGUGGGGCAUGCUCGGACUCCUAACCACGUUAGAAGGAGCAGUGCCCCGUCCAGGCGACCGUACUUCGCUCGAGCCAGCAUGUUGACGUGCAUGUUGGUCUUGAGCGCCACGAGAGCCACCAGCUUGAUCUUGGUCCAGCGGACGUAUGGCGCUGCGAACGCCAUGACGCUGCUGGUCCCGCGCCUCCUGAGAGGGACGCGGUGCGCGCAUGGACGCCGAGGUCUGUGCCGCCUUGUCCUUGGACUUGGCCGCACUGAGAGCUCCCUCGUCGACGCCCAUUCUUCCGCCGGCGUCCACUCCACCACCCGUUUGCUCCGGAGGUGGUGAAAGCAACGCAGACGGAACAACUACCUCCGAAUCCUUCUUCUACGAUGGCAUGUCGAUGAAGACGCUGAAGAUUUAGCUUGCGUGCACGCCGGAUCGGGUUCGCACAAUCUCGACGCCCCCUACCUGGCGCGCCAGAGAUGUCGGGGAAGGCUGAUCCACCAACCCCUAUGGGGACAGGGCCCCCUUUCGGUUCGGAGGGGGGUGGAGGUUGCACAAAGAGCGGAUCGAGGCGGUACACGCGAGCAGUUUUUACCCAGCUUCGGGCCGCACGGAUGCGUAGAACCCUACUGCUGCUUGUUUGUGUGUAUUGAAUUCUUGCUCAGGAGCGAUGGACGCUGCCAGACUGAGCGUGGGAGUGUUUCUGGUGUUUCGAACGAGUCGAACUGGCCGAACCCCCUCUACGUUGCGCUUGGGCCUCCUUUUAUACUUUCAAGGGGUCACCGACAGGUGGCAACGUAGACUAGAAGGGUAAAAAUGGAAAAGGAUGCGGUAGGUGCAGCUACCACUACUGUGGAUACAGUGCACCCUACCUAACUCUGACGGCAGGGGACAAGGGCAUUAAAUGCCUGUCUGAGUUGCCUAAAAAGUGCAAAAAGUGACCGUUAGAAGCGCCACCGUUUGCCACGAUGGCCUUUUCUUCAUCUCCGCUUGCCACCGCGCACCCCUAGCUGCGCAGCCUCCUGCCACGUGUGCUUGGGAGAGUCCUAGAGCGACACGUUAGCAGGUGUGCUGGAGCGCGGGCACGAAGUGGGGGUUUCCCGCGGCAAGCUCCUUGCCGCGGUCGUCGUCUUGUCGUGUUUGGGAGCUUGUUGCUCACCGGGCCUUGCCGGGACGCAGGGCGCGUCGCGGCAAGCUUUCUUGGUAUGCCUUGAGUGGCCUUCCCGGCAAGCUCCUCUUGCCGGGGUCUUGUCUCUUCCCGGCAAGAUCCUCUUGCCGGGGCCUGGGUUGGCCUUCCCGGCAAGCUCCUCUUGCCGGGGCCUUGGUUGGCCUUCCCGGCAAGCUCCUCUUGCCGGGGCCUUGGUUUGAGUACUUUGUUCUUGAAUGGUCUUCAAGGGAGCCACGGAGGGUCUUGGCGGUCACCCGGCAAGCCUUGCCGCGGGGCGCUGCAACUGCCCGUGCACGAGUUCGGGAUACUAGGGUACCCCUACUCUAGUACACCGACACAUUUUGACCGAACUAUGAAUGUCAUGUGUUAUAAAAAUGUUUCCAUUAGGCAUUUUUGUGGUAUAUAACCCAUGUUUUAUUGGUUGAAUUGAUUGUCAAACUUGAACUGGAACACGAACCCAUCAACAUUAUGUUCUAACAUAAAAGUAGUUAAGUACUCGUCAACUAGUCAGCCUGUGCGGAUCAACAUUCUGUUCUAACAUAAAAGUGUCAUUUUAUUUGAAUGCUAAGUUUGAGAGUUUUUAUCUAUUUUUUUGCCUGGGUGUGUUCCCUAAAAGAGUGGAGAUGGGGAUACUGUGCUUUUGACGUUUCUUAUAUGUCAAAAUCUGAAUUAUAUUACACAUGUACAUGUAAAUUUUCAUGGAAAAAAGGAUAAAUUGUUUGGCUUGUGUGGGGAAAAUGAUGCCCCGAAAAUUGCCUUUUUAGAGCACUGACCCAAAAUGCUGCCUCUUCCAUUGCUCGGGGGAUUGAGGAUUUCAUGAUUUAAAUUCAAGAACUGUAACAAGUAUAGCGCAUUUGGUGUAGAGGCAUCAUAGUACCCUCCCACGGUACUGACCAGGGUUCGAUUCCCUGGAUGCGCAACUUUAUUUUUUUUCUUUGUGUAGGAAGGUUUUAUUAGGCUUGACACUAACAUGUCCUUUUUGGACAUGGAGUUUCUGCGCGUAGAAUUUCAUGAUGAAAUAACGUUCGUGGAGCUCAAGGCAAAAAUAACAAAAUCGAUGCUCCAGUAAGUCUUGGUUGCACAACUAUUUUUUUUGAAAGCUUGAUACGCACUAUGACUGUUUCUUUACAGUGUCCUUUUCGAACAUGGAGUUUCUGCAUGUAGAAUUUCAUAAUGAAAUAACGUUCGUGGAGCUCAGAGCAAAAAUAACAAAAUCGAUGCUCCAGAAAGUCUUGGUUGCACAACUAUUUUUUUGAAAGCUUGAUGCGCACUAUGUCUGUUUCUUUCAGUGCUGCAGUUUCAGUUUCUAUUGGGCUUGACAAUAACAUGUCCUUUUUGAACAUGGAGUUUCUACACUUGAGCUCAAAUGCAUCCUUGUGAAGAAUGAAAUAAAAAAUAAUAGUAAGCAAAUUAUAAAAAUCUGAUUUAUUUGGCAACAAGCAUUGUCGAAUUAUCUUCGUGCAUGCAAAAUAUCGUGAUGAAAUAACGUUCGUGGAGCUCCGAAAAAAAACAACAAAAUCGAUGCUCCACAAAGACUUGGUUCCCCAACUUUUUUUUGGGUGGGGGGGGGAGGGAUGGUGUUGAUCCUCUACUAUGACUAUUUCUUUUAGCACAAACAGUUCUUUUGGGCUUGACACUAACAUGUCUUUUGGCCAUGAAGUUUCUACACUCGUGCUCAAGUGCAUCCUUUUUUUAAACAGAGCUCAAAUGCAUCCUUGUGAACAAUAAAAAAUAGUAAAUAAAUUUCAAAAAAUCUGAUUUUUUGGCAACAAACGUUGUUGAAUUAUCUUCGUGCGUGCGAAAUUUCAUGAUGAAAUAACGUCUGUGGAGCUCUGGGCAAAAAUAAUAAAAUAGAUUCUCCAAAAGCGAAAAUGUUAAAUGGGUCGCACUGGUAGAUAGUACUAUUAUCUCGGCCGCCGGUCCACCUCGAGAUGCCCGCCACUAGUAGUAUUUAAUGUGGUAUUUCGAAUGGGCGCUCUGUUUUGCACAGUUCCUGCAUGGUUUGGCGCUAGUCCUUAAAUUGGCCCAACAACUCUGGCACUCUACGGUCUCGGUCUUGCACCACGCUAGGUGGACCGUUGUACUCUCGAUUGUGGGCCGUCACCGGCAUCUUCCCCCCGAAGCCUCCACGUUAUUUAUUAUUCCCCAUCGACAGAUAGUCGCUAGCCAUCCCCACCCCCUCCCCCUCCCCAAUCCACUGUGCGACCGCAUCCAACUCUGUACCACCCAUGGCGUCGUCUUCGUCCUCGAUCCCCCAGGCCGUUGACACGGAUCUGCUCCCGCUCAUUCCCUGCCCCCGUUGCGGUCGUCAAGUGCUCACCGACAUCUCGUCCGGUGGGAAGAGGCCUGGGAACCGCUACUACAAGUGCAUCCUCCGGAGCGUGAGAUCCCUAAAUCUUAAUCUCCGGAUUUGAUGUUGAAUUUUUAGUUUUCCUUUCAAAGCACAGCCUGUUCUUGUUUCGUGUUUUUUUGUUUGGUUUCAUCCUAGUCUGGCCAGUGCCCCUUCUUCGAAUGGCAGGAGUCGUACCGUGCUGUACUGGAGGCCGUUCGCGCUCGAGCUUUGCUCGCCCCGCCAUCGCCUCCUUCCACUGGACUACUUCACCGCACUCUUCGGCAGGAACUCGGCACACAGCCUGCUCCAUGCGCCCCGCAAGUCUGCGCCCCCGCAAGUCUGCGCCCCCGCCACGCCGUCGGCGCCGAGCGGCGAUUUGUCCAGGGUUGCUAUCAUGCUCAGUGCCACCAACCUUAUGGUCACCGUCAUCAUGCUGGGCAUAUGCGUCCUCAUUCUGGCGAUUGUGUACUUCAAGUGAUGUAGUGCACACGCAGCAGCUCACUGAAUGUAGUAAUGUGGUCCGGGCUUAGUAUUAGUAGCGCCGCAAGUGUACUGCUCUGUGUUUAGAUUUCAGGGCAUAGUGUGUUCGCAGAGUCAGUUUGUCCUCACAUUUGUAGUCAAGUUGAGCUUCGCUGUCACUGCUUUAUUAAGUUCUAGUGUGAUCCCCAUGUAAUCAGGCUUCAUUUGUUAGACGUAUUAAUAUUAUGUUAUCUCGAAUUUGCCACGUUGGAAGUUUGUUUCUGGUUUAUCCCAUCGUGUACAUCUACCUGCUGUCCAGUGCAUUUACACAGUUAGGAGACACCUUACUCGGUCCGUGUAAAUGCUGCCCCAACCACCACCCACCUCCAUCAGUGCUUCUGGCGGUGCUAUCUCUACCCUCACCCGGCCUCACCCACCAUAGCUCCUCUCCUCCAGGUUGACGAUUUUCUUUACCAAGGUUUGGUUCCCUCUAACAAUAAUCCUGCCCCUCCAUCCCCGCUCAAUUUUUGAUGCUUGUCUCUCAUGCUUGCUGCCGUUUGUUUUGCCACCAGAUGUCUUGCUCCGGGAGUUGCGAGGGAGAUGAUGAUGCAGCUGACCAGCACCAUGCCCCUCAGAUCCAGGGUUCAGAUCUGAACAAGGAAGGUGUGACAUACACUUCAAGGAUCUCUGUGAAGCAAGUCGUCAGUGUCAUCGAGGGGUUUACCGAGUACAAGAAGUGGCUGGUGGAGGAGAUCAGAUUUGGAGGUAUACUUAAGCUACAUAAGUACCAGAAGUUGAAUCUUAGACUUAGUUCUUGGUUAAUGAGCAAGGUAGACGUGCAUCGGCGUGCUAUAUGCAUCACCGAGAAGAAGGUGUUGAGGUUCUGGGCAGAGGAUGUAGCUAAGGUGUUCGGAGUACCGGCUGGCAGUCGUGAUGUCAAAGGCCGUGAUGCAGACAUCAACCCUGAUUCAGUUGAGUUCAUCAAGCGCACGCUUAGGAUGGACCAAGCUGGAGCUCACAGCCUUAGAGCAGCAGAGGAUUUCUUGAAGAGGGAUAUAAUAGAGGACUCUGGCAAGCUGGAGAAGGAUUUUUUCCAGAUAGCUUUUGUCAUAUUUGCAAUGGGACAUCUUCUAGCCCCGUCUACGAAGCACAAU
rnacentral:lncRNA from 1 species